rnacentral:rRNA from 1 species
GACGAACGCUGGCGGCGUGCUUAACACAUGCAAGUCGAACGGAAAGGCCCUGCUCUUGUGGGGUGCUCGAGUGGCGAACGGGUGAGUAACACGUGAGUAACCUGCCCUUGACUUUGGGAUAACUUCAGGAAACUGGGGCUAAUACCGGAUAGGAGCUCCUGCUGCAUGGUGGGGGUUGGAAAGUUUCGGCGGUUGGGGAUGGACUCGCGGCUUAUCAGCUUGUUGGUGGGGUAGUGGCUUACCAAGGCUUUGACGGGUAGCCGGCCUGAGAGGGUGACCGGCCACAUUGGGACUGAGAUGCGGCCCAGACUCCUACGGGAGGCAGCAGUGGGGAAUAUUGCACAAUGGGCGGAAGCCUGAUGCAGCAACGCCGCGUGCGGGAUGACGGCCUUCGGGUUGUAAACCGCUUUCGCCUGUGACGAAGCGUGAGUGGCGGUAAUGGGUAAAGAAGCACCGGCUAACUACG